CCUACGGGUGGCUGCAGUGGGGGAUAUUGCACAAUGGGGGAAACCCUGAUGCAGCGACGCCGCGUGUGGGAAGACGGUCUUCUGGAUUGUAAACCACUGUCCCCAGGGACGAAAAUGACGGUACCUGGGGAGGAAGCUCCGGCUAACUACGUGCCAGCAGCCGCGGUAAUACGUAGGGAGCAAGCGUUGUCCGGAAUUACUGGGUGUAAAGGGAGCGUAGGCGGGGAUGCAAGUUGGGUGUCAAAACUAUCGGCUCAACCGAUAGUCGCACUCAAAACUGCAGCUCUUGAGUGAAGUAGAGGCAGGCGGAAUUCCUAGUGUAGCGGUGAAAUGCGUAGAUAUUAGGAGGAACACCAGUGGCGAAGGCGGCCUGCUGGGCUUUUACUGACGCUGAGGCUCGAAAGUGUGGGGAGCAAACAGGAUUAGAUACCCGUGUAGUC
rnacentral:rRNA from 1 species